rnacentral:ncRNA from 2 species
AGAGGGAACCCGGUGAGAAUCCGGGACUGUCCCGCAGCGGUGUACGGGAACGACCGCCGUCAAUGGCACUGGCCCCUCGGGCUGGGAAGCGACGGCCAGUAGGAGCACCUCGGUGCGCGCCUGUGAGUCCGAAGACCU